rnacentral:rRNA from 1 species
CCUACGGGUGGCUGCAGUGGGGAAUAUUGGGCAAUGGGCGCAAGCCUGACCCAGCAACGCCGCGUGAAGGAAGAAGGCUUUCGGGUUGUAAACUUCUUUUCUCAGGGACGAAGCAAGUGACGGUACCUGAGGAAUAAGCCACGGCUAACUACGUGACAGCAGCCGCGGUAAUACGUAGGUGGCAAGCGUUAUCCGGAUUUACUGGGUGUAAAGGGCGUGUAGGCGGGGACGCAAGUCAGAUGUGAAACCCACGGGCUCAACCUGUGGACUGCAUUUGAAACUGUGUAUCUUGAGUACUGGAGAGGCAAACGGAAUUCCUAGUGGAGCGGUGAAAUGCGUAGAUAUUAGGAGGAACACCAGGGGCGAAGGCGGUCUGAUGGACAGCAACUGACGCUGAGGCGCGAAAGCGUGGGGAGCAAACAGGAUUAGAUACCCUAGUAGUC